AUUGAACGCUGGCGGCAUGCUUUACACAUGCAAGUCGAACGGCAGCACGGGCUUCGGCCUGGUGGCGAGUGGCGAACGGGUGAGUAAUAUAUCGGAACGUACCCAGAAGCGGGGGAUAACGUAGCGAAAGCUACGCUAAUACCGCAUACGAUCUAUGGAUGAAAGCAGGGGACCGCAAGGCCUUGUGCCCCUGGAGCGGCCGAUAUCUGAUUAGCUAGUUGGUGAGGUAAAGGCUCACCAAGGCGACGAUCAGUAGCUGGUCUGAGAGGACGACCAGCCACACUGGAACUGAGACACGGUCCAGACUCCUACGGGGGGCAGCAGUGGGGAAUUUUGGACAAUGGGCGCAAGCCUGAUCCAGCAAUGCCGCGUGAGUGAAGAAGGCCUUCGGGUUGUAAAGCUCUUUUGUCAGGGAAGAAACGGUAGAGGCUAAUAUCCUUUGCUAAUGACGGUACCUGAAGAAUAAGCACCGGCUAACUACGUG
rnacentral:rRNA from 1 species